AUCAUUUUUAAAAAGUAAAAUAGUUCACUAGGCUUUGGGUGUGUUUCUCUUUAAUUAGUUUGAUGAGCACAAAGUCUGAGGCCUUGUCAAAUACCCAGUAUUAACUUUGGAUACUGACCCAGAAGUGGAGCAUUGCAGAGGUAAGAGCAUGGGCAGGAGAAAAUCAGUAAGAUGUUUCCUGUAAAAGCCUUUUGCCAGACAAGAGGAAUCAUUACCACGAUGAUACUUCUAAUUAUAAUGUCAUUAGGGCACCACUGCAGGUUCCUAUGGCGCAUGAAGUUUUUCAGCAUCUUGAUCCAAAAUGGGCAAAAUAUAGGCAUUAACCCUUUCACUGGAAGUAGACUUGAAUAUCUAGGCAAGCUGAAAGAACACAACUUAUUUUGAAGUUAAGUCAUAGUAUUGCUGAGUGUUCUGGAAAAUUUAGCAGUUGUAAAGAAUACUGAAGAGUAAUUCCCCUGAUCCUUCUGCAUUCAUGCCGGAUGUCACAGAUGGACAAUUGAUGAUAUGUGUUUCUCAAGACACCAAAAAGGUAAAGAUAAUGUACUUUGUUGCUGAUCUAAUUUUUGUCUGACUGGAAAACAGGAGGCGAAGUUUCUGGCACAAAGUUGUUGCCCAAACCUUUGAAGAAUAGCCAAGAGCAGAUAACAAACAGGCCUACAGACAAUAUUGCUCAAAGUCACAUUCAACUCCUUAAGCAGCUGUUCAAUCUGUGAAGUGAAAAAUUCUUCUAUUUUUGUGUAAUUUUCAAACUGCUGAUGAUACUAUAACAUAUUCUCUCGGCUUUUCUCUUUGUUUAGGCAGCCUGGAUUUAUACCUUCAAAUCUUGGCUCUAGGAUGGUUCCAAAAGCACAAUCAUGCAUGCAGAUACCACCAAACAUGUCAAAAAUGUUAUGCUAUUAAAUGCUAUGAUAAAACCUUCUACUUAGUGCUACAGUGCUUCUAGAAUUUGUCUUACAGGUCCAAGUUGAUCUUGCCUGUAACUGACAUGUAAAGGAACGUUUCAUGGCUUUGCGCAGUGCUGACACUGUGUUUGUGUUGCUCUGGACUGAGUCUAGCUCCUGGUUUGCUCUUCAGGAGUCAGACAGUUAAACCACAAGCCAACUCUGCCACUCUGGAACAAAAUAACAUCCUCUUCAGUGUUUCAGGAUUUACAGAAUGUUAAAUGGGCACAGCGUUCCCCCAGAAUCCCAACCCAGUAGGGUGUUCCCAGGCAGGGGCUACUCCAAGCUUAGGCGUGCAUAGGAGAUCCCAGAUUAGAAGCCUACUGCCAGAGAUACCUUGAGGAAGGGGAUUUUGAGCACUGCGUUAUGCCUUAGGCAGACAGCGUGAAUGAUGGGAUGUCCAGUUUUCCAAUGGACAAAAUUGCACAGGGCAGGUAGAUCAGAGUAACAGAUACCAUGACAACCAAAUACGUUCAAAGCAAAAGGACAAAAGACAAGAGAGGAAUUUUAAAGGGGGAGGAGGCAGCAAUAACGUUAUUAAUAUAUCCCUGUGUUCUGAAGGAGUGGCUUUUUUUGUGAAACUCAGCAAGUUGUGACCCUGAGCAGUGCCACUGCCGUAGCGCAAUCUGCGUGGUACAAAGUUGGGAUGUGGCAUGAAGAUUUUGUGAAUUCCAGAAGCUCCUCUUUGAUGACUAAGUAGUUAUUAGCUCUUUGAGACUGAGUACCAUUUGGGUAAUUGGCAAGUGGACUGUGACCUGAAGGAUUGAUAAACUGGAGGGAAAUCAUUCAAAAUUCUUUUCAGUUUUCCUCCAUACUGCUUUUGUUUCAUGUUCAGACAACUCAAUCUAAAACAUGAAACGUUAUUUUCAGAAGAGCAAUCAUAAUUGGCAUAAUUUGAAGAAAAAAAAAACUAGUAGCACUUGCUAAUAUGGGCAGAAUUCAAUUAAUAAAACACCACAUACUGUGGCUGGUUUGUUUCUAAAAUACACUUAUGUAAUUUAAAAGACAAAUGUGUUGUCUGUGGUGGUCAUUAUUUUAAAGACAGCAGGGUUUAUCCCUUACAUCCCAUUUUUUAAUCUGUGGUUUUAUUGACACUUUGAAAGCUAACAGCCUAGCAGGUUGUUCCUAGGUAGGAAUUCUACCCAAAAGAACAGUUUGUAGAACUGUACUCAUUUAACUGACAUUACAAAGUUGUCCUGCACAUGCAAAAAAAGAACUUUUCACAUGAUGUGAGAAAGACUCUACACCUGUGAUAAUGAAGAACACUUCCCAUUAGCAAUGUAAGUAUGUAGAUUUGUCGUUACUUAUUCAGAAAUCAGCCUGCAGGCCCAAGAUGACCUGCUCUUCACCUCACCAAUCCCGCUCCUGCUGCAUCUCACAUGAGGUAGGUGCACUUCUAUUUCAACCCUAAAAGUGGGACUGUUCAUCUUUCUGAAUCAGCUACAUGGGCUGAGUCCUUCUCUUCCACUGCACCAAAUCCUUGCAGGGACGUGUUUUCAGGUGAGCUUUAUUAUUCAGUGUGCACCUUUAUAAGGUUCUGGAAGGCAAAGCUCUCAGGCCACCUUACUCGUUUUUGCAUAGUACCAAAGAGUGUUUUUUGAAAGCCUUUUAGGAUCAGCUUUUUUCUUGGAGUGGUGUCAAUCAUCAAGAAUUUUUAAAUAUUUUACCUAACCAACUACUACUUAUUCCUUUUGAAAGAAAAUCAAAUGAUUACAUGCAACCCUGGCCAUUUUGCGCUCGCAUAUCCCUACCUUAUCUCUGCUCCAUAAAGCACCCAGAAGAUGUGUGUGGGCUCUGCUCUGCUCCUCCCUUUCACUGCCCACUGAGGGACUUCAAGCAUUAAAGAGCUGUCCUGGUGCACACCCACCUCCGGACAUGGAGAGGAAAUCCCAAGUGAGUACUUUAGGAUAAGUACCCUGAGAUGGUCUUUGGUUGGCUUUGGUUUUCAUACAUUUGUGACAUGAAAUCACCUAAAAACGUAACUUUGCAGUUUAGAUAGAUCUUUGAUGGAAAAAAUGUUUCAGUUAACCUCAUGUAUAAUAAUGGAUAAUUACCUCAGUUCAUAUCUCCUGAAAAUCCUUUUUUAAUACUUUUUUAUUAUUAUUAUUGUUUUGGGCUACAAAGUAAUUUGCAUGAUGUUUUUUCUCCUUCCCUAGCUAUCUCUCCCUCUCACCACUGCUCACCUUUAUAAACUGAUUUCUGCCUUCUUCCUGGGCUACAAAAUGACAGCGCUUACUAUCUGUCCAGUCGUCUGUUCCUGUUUAGCCAGUAAGUGGAACAUUUCCUAUGACUUUCUUCAGAUAAUGAUCCUCUUUUUCCACAUCUAGGGGGCCUCUAUUGUAUAUAAUCUCUGCAAGAUAAGAGCUUAAUAAAUAACUCUUUUUUAUAGUAUUUUUUUUUUUUAAUUCUGUACGUCUAGAACACCUGCUCUGCUGCUGCUUGUAGAUUUUUAGGUAAUUUGACUUUAAUUUUUAUAUAAAGAGGAGAUAUGAAACUUCCUCCUGACAUAAUUAGAAAACUAAAAUGUAAGUUUGCUCGCUGAAAACUAUAUCUUGGAGUUCUUUUGCAAUACAAGUUAAUUAACUGGAUUUAGAUAUUUGCAAGACGAUAUAUUUAAUGGGAUUACUGCUCAUAUAAUGUUCUCAGUGACUGAUUUGGAAUCUAAGCUCAGGGAACAGAAUACCGAAUUUCCAGCUCUUUGAGAGUUAAUGUUGUGUUAAGGAAAAGUACAAUUUGAACCUCAUUGUUCAUGAAUAGCGAAGUUAUUCCGGUGAAAUGGAGCCGGUGCCUACAAGGGCUACACGAGGCAGAUGCAUGAGCGGGAGCGCAGACAGCGGCAUUCCUGCGAGCGCUCGGCUACAGAUAUCCCCGCACCUGAACUCCUGGCAAGUUCAAGGCAAUUGCGUAUCUCAUCACAACAUAAUGGCCCUUUAUUCAGCCCCCGUCUCCCAAGUGGGAUCAAUUAGAUGCUUUGGUCUGCAGGCUUGAGAAUAAACAUUUGUGUUUUCGUUUAUAUUUAGAGUGAAAAUGAAGACGCGUGGCCACAGCCGUUCUGCCCGCGUCCGUCGUGUUUUGAAACAAAGGUUUAAUCAGCUCUUUCAAAAUAUUGAUUGCCUUUUUAAUAGGAAAAGGUAGAAAGUUAAAUGACAGCAAGCUCUGGGGAAAAAUGCAAUAGCCCUGCACAGAACAUUUCAGUGCGCCAAUAAAUCUCGCAUUAGCGUCUAUCUUCUCAUUAAGGCAAAUAUAUUUCUAUGUGUCAAUUUGGUUCACUACAAUGUUAGAGUUUCACUCCUAACACAGGAUUUCUCUAAUGAAUAUGGUAAUUUAAAUCUUAUGAUCAGAGUACUACUUUUAUAGAAAUUUGAACAUUUUUUUGUUUAAAUGCUAUUAACCGUUUCAAUAUUAGCUCAGUCAAAUAGCUAUUAGAUGGGGAAAUUUAUAUUCUCACUAUAAGGAAUGGAUGUGUAAUUCUACAGUGCUUCUACAUUCUAACACUUUUUUAAAGUACUUGACAAGUAGAAUGGUGAUUCGUGUUUAACGUGUUCGAUUUUAAAAUUUAACCAGCAUUCUAAAGCUCUGGUGAGUUCAAAUGCCUUAACAUUUUUAUUUAUGAUUGUAAUUUUAUUUUUAAGCAUUGAUAAAGUGAAGUCUUAAAAAUCUAACUGGAUAAGAACAUUUAGAUGACAGUGGUUCACCAGGACACAAGUGGGAAAGGGAAAGAAAAUCCCAUGGAGAGAAGGAAACUCUUAUAUACCUGCAUGCAUCUUCCUAAGAUAUGACACAAAAUACUACUGAAGUGAUACUUGCCUUGUUUUGAUCUUGAUUUGGGGGGGAGGUUGUUUGGUUUUGAAUGACCUGUCAAACUGAGAGUUGUGCCAAGGCAACCUUGGCAUCUGAUGUUUUACAUGGCUGCUACGUUACAAGUAUUCCAUUCCAAGUAUUUUAGUCCUUGAAUAAAUUGCUCUUAUUAAGCUAAUUUUGGAUCCAUUCUGUUUAUGAAUGCAUAAAAAUAUUCCUGACUGUUUUCCAGGCUUUUCAAGACAACUAUGAGAUGUACCCUAUGAUGUGAGCAAUCACUAAACAGACUACAACAGAUUAAUAGUUCACAGAAACCUCUUAAAACAUCCUAAGCUCAUAAAUUUGUAAAGAGUUUGUGAUCUUGAGUUAUUAUAUUCUAUGAUUUUCCAGCAAAGGAAUUUGAAUCGUGCCUUUAUAUUCCUGUCCUGUAGCAAAAUAUGCUUGUUUCCAGCCAGGGCUUUCACUGAUGUAAACACAGAUACUGGUGUUCCUGGAUUGAACAGCAAUGCAACCCUACGAGGGGGAAUUCCAUAGCUGAGAGAGAGCUUUUUUUUCUCAGUAUGUGUCAUGGAAAAGAAAAACACGAUCAUUUAACAACUUUCUUCCAAGCAUGAGCGCGUCUUUGAGUUUACAAAGUCAGGUUUUUGUGAUGAAGAGCUUUCAUUCAUAGGUAUUUCUUUAAAAAAAAAAAAAAUACAACCAGUUGUGGAACUAGCAAGAUGAUGGUUAUGAGUGCACAGCAAUAUCCCAUGUCCAGGAACUGCAUCUGCAGCAUCAGAGUGCAGGAUGAAGAGCAUUUCAGGAAGGUAGGAUUCAAUGAACCCACGGCAGUUUGUCAGGAACUCUACAACAAGUAGUCCCAGUGCUUUUCUUUCAUAUUGAAUACAUGGAAUUAGUGCUCUUAGUGCACAGAGAGAGCAGGAAGAUAACAAACUACUGCUUGGACAAAGCAGAUUUGACCUACAUAUAGGAGUGGACGCAGCCAGGGGUGGAGCUUCUGAUUGAAUGGUGUUGGCAUCAGUUGUGGUUGGGAAUUUUGCAAACAGUUACAACAGCAGUGAAGAACUUAUUACAAAUAAGUCCCGUAAGUCUGGAUAUUCUGCUGUUCACGAGAAAUAUAAAAUGAGUGCAGACUGGUGGAACUUAGAUGAAACCAUGCCCAAGACAUAAGAACACACCGUCUGUCAGAACGGAAGUACUUUACAAGUCAAGCGUUGCCAGCCAGAACAUCUGAAAAUGUUUUGACAGUAUCAGAAUGUAUCUUUUGGAAUGAACUGAUAAUGCUGUUUUGUCUUCCAAUCCAACUUUUUUUUUCUCUCAGCUUUCUGUUUUACUGAAAGAAUAAGUGGAACUGAAGCUAAGGGUGGCAGAACACGUGUGUAAAUUAGAUUAAUUUUUCUCCUAGUUGCAGAAAGCAGAAUAGUUUCUAGUUUAUCUUGACAGAUGCAUUUCACAACUAUCUUCUAUCUUAUGCCUUCAAUCCAGAGAGAGGUGAGAAAAAUACAGUGCUGUCCUAUUGAAAAGGCAAUAUCUAAAACUACUCAGCAGUUUGUUGCUGCAUUAGUCCAAGAAUAAUUUAAUUCUGUACUAACAGCAAUUUAGAAAGCACGAAAACGAAGCUAGAACAUUUCUAAACUCAUUGUUCGCUACACACGUUGAUUAACAGUGCUCUGCAGGAAUUAAUUGAUCCAAGGGCAGGAUCUGGCACUACGGCAGCAACGCUCUUCUUGCAGUGCUCAUAUGAGGUGACUGCACUCACAGCUCCUCAGACUGUGCUACGAAUUGUUUUUCAAACACAUCAUCUGUCCUUGCAGAGAGCCGCUGGAGAUCCUCAGACCAGGCCUGAGCACAGCUAGGUAUUGGCUGUUUCAAUUACAGCUCAAAUACAUCACGCAGAUGGAGGAGUGCAUUGGGCAUGCAUUUGGCAUCCCAGGGCAGAUGGCUUUUCCCAAAAUGAGAGCCUGUGGAAAGCUGUUUUCAUCUUCCCAAGCUUCUGGCCUGAUGGACUUCAGCACAAAUGCGUUUCCAAAUAAUGAAUCUGCAGUUCACUUUCUGGCCGAGGUGAACGAGCACACGUUAACUCAUUCAGAAAGGAGAUGAAAAGCUCACAUUCAGGAUGCAUUAAUCUGAAAACAAGUGUACUUUUGUGUCUGGGGAGUAUUAUUUUCAUUGCCAUCAAUUUAGAACAUAGAUAGACUGUGAUUCUAGCUUCACUAUCAGGUUGCCCCACAGGCUGAGACCCCUCACCAGGCCAUUCUAUUUAAUUUAGACUAAUCUAAAGCUGAGUGAAACUUUGUACCCUCUCUGAUUUCUCCCUAUAAUCAGGAACACUCUGAUUUCCCCUUCCCCCAUGACCCAGUCUGAGUGGCUGGGAGAUGGGGGAGAGGUACUCAGGAAAGCGACCUCCAGGUAAAGGCAGCAGCUAUUUGUGCCAGCCUGUCUGCUUGCCUAAUAACAGGUGGCAAACAUGUCCAACCAUAUCAUCCCUAGCUCUUGUUCUGUUUGAAUUUCUCUUUACUUUACACACAAUUCUUGGGAAGGCGUAAUCCUUUACACUUUUGCAUGUGAGUUUUUCAAGGCAUUGCACAUGUCAGCGGAGAUAAAUCUCCCAUGGAAGAGGCUGAAAUCCUAAUGCUGUUCUUCCACCAUUAUGCUCCUAGGUUUGGGUGGAAUUUGAUGGGGCAGAGGUUGUGCCCUAUAGUUUUAAUGUUGGGGUGUUUUUGGUCAGUGUUGUUUUGUCUGUGUUAAGAGGCAUCGAUAUGCACAAGAGAAUCUGUUUUGGACAGUAUCCAAGGUCAAAAAGGAUUCAGCAGCUUUGGCAAAAUGUUCCCUUCUGUCUGUGGUUUACAGAUUCAUCCAUAUGUGAGAUCUUAAAGAAGUAUCUUUCACUCUCUGUUGCUAUCAUCUCUGAUAAUUAGACUUGGCUUUGCUGCUUUCUCUCUCUCCCCAUCUUUCUUUUGUUUUAAACACCACAUGACUGCUUUCAGUGGAUAAGGCAAGUGGAGAAGAAAAGGAUCCAGUAGUGGCCCUCAACUGGCAGGCACUCAGCAAGCAAAUCAGCAGGUUCCCCUGCUAAAGAACCAUGCUGACAUCUAGUUAAUGUUCUUAUUUGCUAAAGUAAUGAGACUCAACCUGCCUGUGACUCUCAAUCUUUUACAAACCAAAAUUUGUAGUCUUUGCUCAUAGGCAAGAAAAAAAAUGAUCUGCAGUAGCCCCAAGUUUAAAUCAGCAAAUUUGUUUCGUAAACAGCAGAAGUACCCGGGGUGCAGUUCUCUGGGGGGAGCUCAGGUGCGAUGGGCUCUUCCAGUCCACUCCUCUUCUGGCAGUUGUUCAGUUUGUCGCAUACCUAAAUAUGCCAAGUGUAACCCACAGCAGGAGGGGGUUGUCAGAGGACAAAUAUAAUUUUUAUUCUCCUCUCUGAUGUAACUGUGGGUCAGUCAUCUCGUGGUCCUCACAGAUGAUUGGUUCACUGGUAUUAUUUAUCUCAUUUUGGUCCAACAACAGAGACCAUAGACACUCAUAACUUCCCCUUGAAGCAACCAUUCUACUAAUUAAAAUGAAAAGCGCCUGAUUCUGUUUCUCCUAAAAAUAUAAUUCUUUUUCUGAUUAGAGAUGCAAUUUAAAAAAAAAAAAAAAAGGCAAAAAUGGGUAUCUUAUUUUUGUCUGUUGGCUCACAAAACCUGCAUGAACACGAGUUUUAUGUGUGUGAAACUGCCAAAUUGGAGCCAGGGUAGAAACUCUCAAGGGUCUGAAUGUUGAGCAAAAGAGAUAGAUGAAACAGCUGAGUUACUGAACUGAGAAACAUAUGUGCUGUACUUACACAUUUACCAGCGCUCUAAAGAUUUUCUGAUAUGUGGCUGCUCUCUUGAAAAUUAUUUACAUGGCAUUCUGGAGUUGUUCCCACAGAUAUGAUUCCAUUUUGAUCUGCCAAUUACAUUAUGUGCUGUUGCAAAGAAGUUUGUAAAUGAGUCUUUGUUCCUUAGAUGGAAAGCGUUUUGAAGGAGUUCUACCAGCCUGAUGGCAAAUCAUGAACGUCAAAAAUGAGGCUGUCUAAAAAUACAUUAGAGGUUGAUGUAAACAUUGCUGGUAUCAGAGGAGAUGGUUACCAUCAACUUUUGGGAAUGCUGAAUCUGAUGUCCCUUUACAAACACCGAGUUGCUCGGGACAGACCUCCUCCUUCAUGAUGCCCAUGGAAAUCACUGCAGAUUUGACAGCUCUGGCUCCUGGUAACUCCUGUGGGCUCCUCGAGUCCAUAGCAAGGACAGCUGCCCAAAGCCAAGGUUCACCCUCAUGGGAGGUGGGUACAGAAAAAAAGUCUGCUGUUCAGCUGGACCAGGAAGAGAAGUGGAGAAGUUUUCAGUGGCAUUUUCAGAGGUGUUUCACAGCCAGGAGUGUUACAGGAGUGGAAGACCUUGUGCUUUUGAUAAGUCUGUGCCACAGUGGGAUUCUGGCAUCCCUUAGAUGAGACGCCCAUGAGCCCUGAGGAAUCACAUUGCCUUGCAGCCACUGUACAGCCAUGAAAACCAGCUGAAAACAAAACCGAGCCUCUUCGGAGAAAGCCCCACAAGUGACCUCUUCAGCAAAGUGGACAAAGAUUUACAUUGGCUUCUCUUCUCCCCGGCUAUCACUUACACUACAUGCACACUGUUGUUCCUCCUGCCUGUGCCAUUGUACUUCCCUUCUAACCUGUUUUCAACCUGCAAAGGCUUUUGCAAGGAAGUCAGCACACAGCAAUGGUGUGAGCUUACAGCACGUUGGCUGCUUUGUGCUAAUUUCCCAUUAGUGCACAUAGGCGGUAGUUUCGAAGAUAGGUGCAGUGCCUUGUAUGUCAGUGGGUGUUCUAAGGUCUGCAGCUGGGCAGAUGGAUCAGUACUGCCUGACAUAUCAGCUUAUAGUGCAAGGAGACCGUUACUUCAGAUGAAUUUGCUAUGGAACCGUAAAAAGCCUCUGUUAUGAAUAGUCUUCUACAGACAGGAUGAUGUAACAUCCAGUAUAAGGCACCAUAACUGUGUUGUUUACAUUUUUGGUGUGCUGUCCCAUAUAUAAAUCCCCAGUGCUCCAAAAAACAAUGCAUUAAAAGUUAAGGAUGAAUCCAAUCAAUAACCUACUGCGUUAUUCAUGGGUUCAGCGAUGCAGAGUUAAUCCUUUGGGACAAUGACAUUAGGACAUUUGAACAAAACGUACAGCACCCUGCCUAACACCCAGUCUGCACGGAGGAUAAAACCCACUGCUAUAACCUUCAUCCUCUUCCUCCAGGGAUAGAGACGUUCCUGCUCAGCACUGGAACUUCUGGAGAUGAUAAACACAAGCAACUCAUCCCCAGCUCCAUCCUGAGCACCUUCAGCAUUGCCACUCAGCACCUCAAAAUUGUGUGCGUCCAAUGCCAACUGUCCACCAUGGCAAAGGAACAAGACAUUUGCUCCAAGUUUCAGUGUUAAUAAAGAAGGUGAAUCUUUCACACCAGUGGUUGCAGAUGUCAUGCACUUGCCUCCUGCUAUUUGGAUCCACUGUGCUGCAGAGAGUGAACCAGGCAAACCCACCUGUAGAGGAGGGCAGGGAAAGUGAAAUCCCGAGCACCAAGCAGAGUCUUGCUGGAGACCACCGAGGAGACACAGCAUCAGCAAUUGCUGACAAAGCCCAUUGCACCAUCAGAACCAAGCCAAGGAUGAAAGAACGUGACACCAAUCUGUAUUUCCAGCAACCUUUGUUGGAAAGGUGGUCUGCACUCAUGAAUACUGUUGUUAUACCUACAGCCCCCAAAGAGCAACCUACUUGAGCUGUGACAGAGCUGCUCAUAUAACCAAGGGUAUAUGGUUAUGUAGCCUGUCUGGGGAUGUAAGCACAUUUACCUGUAGACUAAAGGAGAUGACCGAAUCCUUGUAAAUGAGCACAAAACAUCGCGAUGCCUAUGCCUUCAAACACCAAAGGAUGAGCAUGAACAGUGUCUCUAGAGCCACUCCAGACUCUAGACACUCAGCACUAGGUGUCCUGUGCUGAGAUACGACUACUGCUACUGACCACAGCUCACGUGCACGUGUCACAGGACCAGUCAAGGUGGUAAACAGAAGCUCAGUGCACCCCCUUGGCUUGUACAGAGGUUUUGCACUGCCCAGCUGGACAGUGAGGAUGGAGGAGAUGCUGUGAUGGGGUGCCGGGAUGCUGUGCAGGACGCCGGGCAUCGUGCAAAGCUGUGGCAGUGCUGGUGCUGGGAUCCUGCUGUCACCUAUAAGGAGGAGGAGUGCAGCCAGCGCUUUUCCAGGCAGAACCACAUGGCCAGUGACAGAAGGAUCGUUGUAGCAUUUACUGAAUAACUGCUUGGAUGAUUCAUUACAUUAAAAUCCCUCUCCACUUUAAUUGCUCUAAAUGAAGAUACAGUUCACGCUGUUUGGAUGUUAAAGGGAAAACACCCUACCCUGCCACAGUGCGUGUGCACCGGAGGAAAAAUGAGAGACCAG
ensembl:lncRNA